rnacentral:rRNA from 1 species
CAGCCGCCACGGUAAUACGAAGGGUGCAAGCGUUACUCGGAAUUACUGGGCGUAAAGCGUGCGUAGGUGGUGGUUUAAGUCCGUUGUGAAAGCCCUGGGCUCAACCUGGGAAUCGCAGUGGAUACUGGGUCACUAGAGUGUGGUAGAGGAUAGUGGAAUUUCCGGUGUAGCAGUGAAAUGCGUAGAGAUCGGAAGGAACAUCUGUGGCGAAGGCGACUAUCUGGGCCAACACUGACACUGAGGCACGAAAGCGUGGGGAGCAAACAGGAUUAGAUACCCGCGUAGUCCCUGUCUCUUAUAA